rnacentral:rRNA from 1 species
AUUGAACGCUGGCGGCAGGCCUAACACAUGCAAGUCGAGCGGAGCGGCGGACGGGUGAGUAAUGCCUAGGAAUCUGCCUGGUAGUGGGUGAUCACGUCCGGAAACGGGCGCUAAUACCGCAUACUAUCAGAAGAGCCUAGGUCGGAUUAGCUAGUUGGUGGGGCAAAGGCCUAGCAAGGUGACGAUCCGUAACUGGUCUGAGAGGAUGAUCAGUCACACUGGGACUGAGAAACGGUCCAGACUCCUACGGUAGGCAGCAGUGGGGAAUCUUGGACAAUGGGCGAAAGCCUGAUCCAGCCAUGCCGCGUGUGUGAAGAAGGUCUUCGGAUUGUAAAGCACUUUAAGUUGGGAGGCGUUACCAACAGAGUAAGCACCGGCUAACUGCGUGCCAGCAGCCGCGGUAAUUC